AUUGCUCAGAAUGAGGUAGGGUACUGGCAACAGUGCUCUGCUGAAUAUUUUCACCCAUGUCUUUUGCGCACUUUUUGUUUCCUGGGCGAGUUUGCUCGCCACCAGGACCCCCAUAUGAACCUUUUUUGUUUUUGCACUCAGCGUCAGUACAAUAAUUUAAUCUAUUAAAACUUUCAACAACGGAUCUCUUGGUUCUGGCAUCGAUGAAGAACGCAGCGAAAUGCGAUACGUAGUGUGAAUUGCAGAAUUCAGUGAAUCAUCGAAUCUUUGAACGCACAUUGCGCCCUUUGGUAUUCCAAAGGGCAUGCCUGUUCGAGCGUCAUUUGUACCCUCAAGCUUUGCUUGGUGUUGGGCGUCUUAUUGUCUCUCCGUCUCGGGGAGACUCGCCUUAAAACAAUUGGCAGCCGGCCUACUGGUUUCGGAGCGCAGCACAAAUUUGCGCUUGCAAUCAGCCAAGGGCGGCAUCCAUGAAGCCUUUUUUCUCUCACAUUUUGACCUCGGAUCAGGUAGGGAUACCCGCUGAACUUAAGCAUAUCAAAAAGCCGGAGGGAAAUUUCUCUGU
rnacentral:rRNA from 1 species